rnacentral:rRNA from 1 species
GGAGGGUGCGAGCGUUGUUCGGAAUUACUGGGCGUAAAGCGCGUGUAGGCGGCCUUGCAAGUCAGGCGUGAAAGCCCUCGGCUUAACCGGGGAAGUGCGUCUGAAACUGCUUGGCUUGAGUACGGGAGAGGGAGGCGGAAUUCCCAGUGUAGAGGUGAAAUUCGUAGAUAUUGGGAGGAACACCGGUGGCGAAAGCGGCCUCCUGGACCGAUACUGACGCUGAGACGCGAAAGCGUGGGGAGCAAACAGGAUUAGAUACCCUGGUAGUCCACGCGGUAAACGAUGGGCACUAGGUGUGGGGGGUAUCCACUCCUCCCGUCCGCAGCUAACGCACUAAGUGCCCCGCCUGGGGAGUACGGCCGCAAGGUUA